AGUGAACGCUGGCGGUAGGCCUAACACAUGCAAGUCGAACGGCAGCACAGUAAGAGCUUGCUCUUACGGGUGGCGAGUGGCGGACGGGUGAGGAAUACAUCGGAAUCUACUUUUUCGUGGGGGAUAACGUAGGGAAACUUACGCUAAUACCGCAUACGACCUACGGGUGAAAGCAGGGGAUCUUCGGACCUUGCGCGAUUGAAUGAGCCGAGGUCGGAUUAGCUAGUUGGCGGGGUAAAGGCCCACCAAGGCGACGAUCCGUAGCUGGUCUGAGAGGAUGAUCAGCCACACUGGAACUGAGACACGGUCCAGACUCCUACGGGAGGCAGCAGUGGGGAAUAUUGGACAAUGGGCGGAAGCCUGAUCCAGCCAUACCGCGUGGGUGAAGAAGGCCUUCGGGUUGUAAAGCCCUUUUGUUGGGAAAGAAAAGCAGCAGGUUAAUACCCCGCUGUUCUGACGGUACCCAAAGAAUAAGCCCCGGCUAACUUCGUG
rnacentral:rRNA from 1 species